CGUAGGCGGGAUGGCAAGUCAGUCGUGAAAUCUCUCGGCUCAACCGAGAAACGUCGGCUGAUACUGCCGUUCUUGAGGGAUGCAGAGGAGACUGGAAUUCCCGGUGUAGCGGUGAAAUGUGUAGAGAUCGGGAGGAACACCGGUGGCGAAGGCGGGUCUCUGGGCAUCUCCUGACGCUGAGGCGCGAAAGCGUGGGGAGCAAACG
rnacentral:rRNA from 1 species